rnacentral:rRNA from 1 species
AGAACGAACGCUGGCGGCAGGCUUAACACAUGCAAGUCGAACGGUUGUAGCAAUACAGCAGUGGCAGACGGGUGAGUAACACGUGGGAACCUUCCUAAGGGUACGGAACAACUCAGGGAAACUUGAGCUAAUACCGUAUACGUCCGUGAGGAGAAAGUUUUAACGCCCCUAGACGGGCCCGCGUAGGAUUAGGUAGUUGGUGAGGUAACGGCUCACCAAGCCUACGAUCCUUAGCUGAUCUGAGAGGAUGAUCAGCCACACUGGGACUGAGACACGGCCCAGACUCCUACGGGAGGCAGCAGUGGGGAAUCUUGGACAAUGGGCGCAAGCCUGAUCCAGCCAUGCCGCGUGAGUGAAGAAGGCCUUCGGGUUGUAAAGCUCUUUUACCAGGGACGAUAAUGACGGUACCUGGAGAAUAAGCCCCGGCAAACUUCGUGCCAGCAGCCGC